AAAGAAACCAACAGGGAUUGCCUCAGUAACGGCGAGUGAAGCGGCAAGAGCUCAAAUUUGAAAGCUGGCCCCUUCGGGGUCCGCAUUGUAAUUUGCAGAGGAUGCUUCGGGUGCAGCCCCCGUCUAAGUUGCCCUGGAACGGGCCGUCAUAGAGGGUGAGAAUCCCGUCUGGGACGGGGUGUCUGCGUCCGUGUGAAGCUCCUUCGACGAGUCGAGUUGUUUGGGAAUGCAGCUCUAAAUGGGUGGUAAAUUUCAUCUAAAGCUAAAUACUGGCCGGAGACCGAUAGCGCACAAGUAGAGUGAUCGAAAGAUGAAAAGCACUUUGAAAAGAGAGUUAAACAGCACGUGAAAUUGUUGAAAGGGAAGCGUUUGCGACCAGACUCGCCCGCGGGGUUCAGCCGGCAUUCGUGCCGGUGUACUUCCCCGUGGGCGGGCCAGCGUCGGUUUGGGCGGCCGGUCAAAGGCCCUCGGAAUGUAUCACCCCUCGGGGUGUCUUAUAGCCGAGGGUGCAAUGCGGCCUGCCCGGACCGAGGAACGCGCUUCGGCUCGGACGCUGGCGUAAUGGUCGUAAAUGAC
rnacentral:rRNA from 1 species